rnacentral:misc_RNA from 1 species
AUUUUGAGGAGGAUCACCAUAAACAGGAGUUGACUGCCGCGCCAGUUUUCCCUCUUGUUGUUGGGAUUUCAGUAAUUGCACUUUUCAUCAGCAUGCCAAGAUUGAAGGAUUUAUAUCAAGCAACAACAGGAAUACCAGCACCAGGAUUUAUGACGACUGCAAAAAAAGAACCUCGAAAGUCAGCUGUGCGAAAAAAGACAUAUUGAAGAUCCCCCCCAAUAUAAGAAACACACUAAAGUAGAUCAAGUGUUGAAGCUUGGCCUCCAUUUUCAAGUUUUGGCCAGUCACAUGGCUAAUUUACAUGAGAUCUUAGCAUCCUUGUAUACUCACUGAAGUUUCUAUUCUUUUUUGCUUUUCCCACAUCCAAGCUCUCAAUUUUAAUCUUACAAAUUUAUAUUAUUU